rnacentral:rRNA from 1 species
GAUGAACGCUGGCGGCGUGCCUAAUACAUGCAAGUCGAGCGAACAGACGGAGGUGCUUGCACCUCCUGACGUUAGCGGCGGACGGGUGAGUAACACGUGGGUAACCUACCUAUAAGACUGGGAUAACUUCGGGAAACCGGAGCUAAUACCGGAUAAUAUUUAGCUUCGCAUGAAGCAAUAGUGAAAGACGGUUUUGCUGUCACUUAUAGAUGGACCCGCGGUGUAUUAGCUAGUUGGUGAGGUAACGGCUCACCAAGGCAACGAUACAUAGCCGACCUGAGAGGGUGAUCGGCCACACUGGGACUGAGACACGGCCCAGACUCCUACGGGAGGCAGCAGUAGGGAAUCUUCCGCAAUGGACGAAAGUCUGACGGAGCAACGCCGCGUGAGUGAAGAAGGUUUUCGGAUCGUAAAACUCUGUUGUAAGGGAAGAACAAGUACGUUAGUAACUGAACGUACCUUGACGGUACCUUACCAGAAAGCCACGGCUAACUACGUGCCAGCAGCCGCCGUAAAAC